rnacentral:rRNA from 1 species
UACAGCGAAACUGCGAAUGGCUCAUUAUAUAAGUUAUCGUUUAUUUGAUAGUACCUUACUACUUGGAUAACCGUGGUAAUUCUAGAGCUAAUACAUGCUAAAAAUCCCGACUUCGGAAGGGAUGUAUUUAUUAGAUUAAAAACCAAUGCCCUCUGGGCUCCUUGGUGAUUCAUGAUAACUCUUCGAAUCGCACGGCCUUGCGCCGGCGAUGGUUCAUUCAAAUUUCUUCCCUAUCAACUUUCGAUGUUUGGGUAUUGGCCAAACAUGGUUGCAACGGGUAACGGAGGGUUAGGGCUCGACCCCGGAGAAGGAGCCUGAGAAACGGCUACUACAUCCAAGGAAGGCAGCAGGCGCGCAAAUUACCCAAUCCCGAUUCGGGGAGGUAGUGACAAUAAAUACUGAUACAGGGCUCUUUUGGGUCUUGUAAUUGGAAUGAGUACAAUUUAAAUCUCUUAACGAGGAACAAUUGGAGGGCAAGUCUGGUGCCAGCAGCCGCGGUAAUUCCAGCUCCAAUAGCGUAUAUUAAAGUUGUUGUGGUUAAAAAGCUCGUAGUUGAACCUUGGGCCUGGCUGGCCGGUCCGCCUCACCGCGUGCACUGGUCCGGCCGGGCCUUUCCCUCUGUGGAACCCCAUGCCCUUCACUGGGCGUGGCGGGGAAACAGGACGUUUACUUUGAAAAAAUUAGAGUGCUCCAGGCAGGCCUAUGCUCGAAUACAUUAGCAUGGAAUAAUGAAAUAGGACGCGUGGUUCUAUUUUGUUGGUUUCUAGGACCGCCGUAAUGAUUAAUAGGGACAGUCGGGGGCAUCAGUAUUCAAUUGUCAGAGGUGAAAUUCUUGGAUUUAUUGAAGACUAACUACUGCGAAAGCAUUUGCCAAGGAUGUUUUCAUUAAUCAGGAACGAAAGUUAGGGGAUCGAAGACGAUCAGAUACCGUCGUAGUCUUAACCAUAAACUAUGCCGACUAGGGAUCGGACGAUGUUAUUUUUUGACGCGUUCGGCACCUUACGAGAAAUCAAAGUGCUUGGGC